AUUGAACGCUAGCGGCAGGCCUAACACAUGCAAGUCGAGCGGCUGAAGGGAGCUUGGUCUUGGGUUCAGCGGCGGACGGGUGAGUAAUGUCUAGGAAUCUGCCUGGUAGUGGGGGAUAACGACCGGAAACGGGCGCUAAUACCGCAUACGCCCUGAGGGAGAAAGUGGGGGAUCUUAGGACCUCACGCUAUUAGAUGAGCCUAUGUCGGAUUAGCUAGUUGGUGGGGUAAAGGCCUACCAAGGCGACGAUCCGUAACUGGUCUGAGAGGAUGAUCAGUCACACUGGAACUGAGACACGGUCCAGACUCCUACGGGAGGCAGCAGUGGGGAAUAUUGGACAAUGGGGGAAAGCCUGAUCCAGCCAUGCCGCGUGUGUGAAGAAGGUCUUCGGAUUGUAAAGCACUUUUAGUUGGAAGGAAGGGUAGUAAGUUAAUACCUUGCUGAUUUGACGUUACCUGCAGAAUAAGCACCGGCUAACUUCGUG
rnacentral:rRNA from 1 species